rnacentral:rRNA from 1 species
GGAGGAAAAGAAACCAACCGGGAUUGCCUCAGUAACGGCGAGUGAAGCGGCAAGAGCUCAAAUUUGAAAUCUGGCCCCUUUGGGGUCCGAGUUGUAAUUUGCAGAGGAUGCUUCGGGUGCGGUCCCCGUCUAAGUGCCCUGGAACGGGCCGUCAUAGAGGGUGAGAAUCCCGUCUGGGAUGGGCGGCCGCGCCCGUGUGAAGCUCCUUCGACGAGUCGAGUUGUUUGGGAAUGCAGCUCUAAGCGGGUGGUAAAUUUCAUCUAAAGCUAAAUACUGGCCGGAGACCGAUAGCGCACAAGUAGAGUGAUCGAAAGAUGAAAAGCACUUUGAAAAGAGAGUUAAACAGCACGUGAAAUUGUUGAAAGGGAAGCGUUGUCCACCAGACUCGCCCGGGGGGGUUCAGCCGGCACCUGUGCCGGUGUACUCCUCUCCGGGCGGGCCAGCAUCGGUUUGGGCGGCUGGUGAAAGGCCCCGGGAAUGUACCACCCUUCGGGGUGCCUUAUAGCCCGGGGUGCCAUACAGCCAGCCUGGACCGAGGCCCGCGCUUCGGCGAGGAUGCUGGCGUAAUGGUGGUCAACGGCCCGUCUUG